UUUGGACUCGCGUCCUGCAUUUGGGUCCUCCAACCUGCUUCACCACACAAACCCGUGACAGACAUGGUAUACUUAAAGGGCAAAAACAAAUGGGAUUUCUGGCACAGUAUAUUCCAAAAAUGUAAAACCUUAACCAAUGGCAAAAUUUAAUGCCAGAAUCUGACCUGACAGCAAAUGUGUGCAAAAUGCGUCUGACAUACACCACAGCUGGCGUCAAAUUUCAAGCCUGAAUAUGCAUAAUCAUGUUGAGAUGGGUGUUAGUGAACAGCUGAGCUUUCUGCCUUGGAUGCAAACCAUCCAGGCACAUUCUCUCUCUGGAUCAUUGUUGAAGGGACUCUAGAUGUCAUAUAUGAAAUUCCCAAUUCUGAACUCAAUUUAUCUACUAUUGGCAGAAUGGGACAUUAAUAGAUAACUGACCGCAAAUAGAAAAAUGUCUUUUUCAUUACAUUUGUCAUGAGAGUUUGAAAUCUUGCAAGAGUUUGGCAUUUAUUGUGACUGAGAAAUUUUCCGCUACAAAACAAAGACACAGUGGCCUGAGCCUAAGGGAGCUUUAACACUGAUACUAGCUCUGCAGUAGAUUCCAGGCUUCCCCAUUAAUUUCAAUUCCAGACCAUUCCAGUAGAGCAAAGGCAAUGGCCCGUGGCAGUGGCCUGUAACCCAACCCCCCUCAAAAGAAAGUGUCCUGCAUUAAAUAAAAAAAUACUGGUUCUGUCUUUUCUUUUUGCCUGGUUUACCUUAAGAUCAUUUUGGUACUUUUCAGCAUUGUAUUAAUAUAGUUAUUAGUUUGCUGUUACCUCGCAGGCAUCACGAUGGAGGAGAAAAUCAUUUGCGCCAUGAUUAACUUUUCACAGAUGCACAUUGAAACCAGCCUCAAAGGAGUACAUCCCACGUGUGUGUUGGCAUUUCAUAAACAGAGUAAUUCUGAUGACAGACUGCAGUACAGGGUGAGUGACCUGUGCUGAAGACUCAUCCAAGAUUCAAGGCUGGAAAUAUUAUUGCCUGUCUGUGUGCUGUUCAAUGAUUCAUCAUCAGGUAUCCAAAACCAGCAUACUCAAUAAAUAGCACAUAACAAGCUGCAGAUAAGAAUAAGAUACAUUUUAUUAUUGCCAUAUGGGUGAGGUAAUAAGCAUUAGAUCCAUAUCAAAAAACAUAUUUUUUCACUUACACCUCAGUGGUAGCUAGCCAGUUUCAGCUGUAUAUGUCCUAUGGUUUUGAAUUAUCUGCCUCUGAAUCCUUAGCCAUCUUUUCCAUUUCACAGUUCCACAGUGAGUUCUGUGAAUUAUCCUGAUUUGUAAAAUCCUAUAUCGUGUUAGUUGUGAUAUAUUUUUAACAAUCAGUCAUAUAAAAUCCAAAGCUUCAGUCAACAAGAUUCUGUUUUGUACUUGCUGAUGAUUACCCCUGGUGAUAUAAAGAUAUACGAUACA